GACGAACGCUGGCGGCGUGCUUAACACAUGCAAGUCGAACGGAAAGGCCUGCUUUCCCUUGUGGUUUGCGGGUACUCGAGUGGCGAACGGGUGAGUAACACGUGAGUGAUCUGCCCCCAACUUGGGUAUAAGCCUGGGAAACUGGGUCUAAUUCCCGAUAGGACUGCAGGGUGGUGCCUGUGGUGGAAGACGAUUUUCUAGUGGUUGGGGAUGAGCUCGCGGCCUAUCAGCUUGUUGGUGGGGUAAUGGCCUACCAAGGCGGCGACGGGUAGCCGGCCUGAGAGGGUGGACGGCCACAUUGGGACUGAGAUACGGCCCAGACUCCUACGGGCGGCAGCAGUGGGGACUAGUGCACCAUGGGCGGAAGCCUGAUGCAGCGACGCCGCGUGGGGGAUGACGGCCUUCGGGUUGUAAACUCCUUUCGACCGCGAGGAAGCCACCUGGUUGGAAGGGUGGUGACGGUAGUGGUAGAAGAAGCACCGGCUAACUACGUG
rnacentral:rRNA from 1 species